UACGGAGGAUGCGAGCGUUAUCCGGAUUUAUUGGGUUUAAAGGGUGCGUAGGCGGAAUAUCAAGUCAGCGGUAAAAAUUCGGGGCUCAACUCCGGACGUGCCUCUAAUACUGUAUGACUAGAGAAUAGAUGCGGUAGGCGGAAUGUAUGGUGUAGCGGUGAAAUGCGUAGAGAUCAUACAGAACACCGAUUGCGAAGGCAGCUUACCAAACUAUAUCUGACGUUGAGGCACGAAAGCGUGGGGAGCAAACAGG
rnacentral:rRNA from 1 species